rnacentral:rRNA from 1 species
CGCUUCUUGUACCCCCUAAAAUAAGAGGUCCCGCCUGCCCGGUGACUAUUUGUUUAACGGCCGCGGUAUUUUGACCGUGCGAAGGUAGCGCAAUCACUUGUCUUUUAAAUGAAGACCCGUAUGAAUGGCAUAACGAGGGCUUAGCUGUCUCCUCUUUCAAGUCAAUGAAAUUGAUCUUUCCGUGCAGAAGCGGGAAUUAAAACAUAAGACGAGAAGACCCUAUGGAGCUUAAGACACCAAGACAGUUUACGUUAAAUACCCCCAAACAAGGAAGAAAACCAAGUAAAUUCUGCCCUAAUGUCUUUGGUUGGGGCGACCGCGGGGAAUUAAAUAACCCCCACGCGGAGCGGGAGGACUCCUCCUACAGCUAAGAGCUACAGCUCUAAUAAACAGAAAUUCUGACCAGCAAGAUCCGGCAAUGCCGAUCAACGGACCGAGUUACCCUAGGGAUAACAGCGCAAUCCUCUUUUAGAGCCCAUAUCGACAAGGGGGUUUACGACCUCGAUGUUGGAUCAGGGCAUCCUAAUGGUGCAGCCGCUAUUAAGGGUUCGUUUGUUCAACGAUUAAAGUCCU